GGCGAUGUAGCUCAAUGGCAGAGCAACGGACUCAUAAGCCGUGGGUUACUGGUUCGAGUCCAGUCAUCGCCA
rnacentral:tRNA from 1 species